rnacentral:rRNA from 1 species
AUGCCAACUAUAUCUAAGUCACAUACUAAUAGCUCAAGUUUGCAGGCUAAUGAGAUUGAAGGAUCAGAUGUUGCUUCUAGUGAUUCUGGAUCAUUUCUUGCAGACAGUUUGUAUGGAAGUACACGGCAGUCUUUUUUCAGAAAGAAUCAACCUGGUUGUGGUGAUGUUGCAAGCAUUCUGUCUUGUAAAAAGAAGCCUGCUUUUGCUAAAGAAUUAAAAAGAUUGCUAGUGCUUCAGGAGAUAGUGUGUUUAAAGAGCAAUAUUACUUGCUGUGGCGGUGAUGCAAUCUUUCUCACUUCAUUAAUGUCAGCUGGCACUGUUGCUGACAAUAUACUCAUGAGAUUACGAAGACUUCUCAUGGUGGUGUCGAUGGAAAGUAUAAAUUUGGAACUCAUUGGGGAUGGAGCAUCAAAUAAUCCAAAAAAGAAUGUUGAAAAGACAAGUGUAGGUUCUCGAAAAGGAAAGAAGAAGUCUAGUAGCUCGAAAAAGCUAGCAGCGUCUUCCAAGUCGUCCAAGGACAAUGGAUGCAGUAGCACAGAAACCCGAAAUUCUAGGAUUGUGUCGAAAUCAAGCCAGCAGACUCCAUCUGUUCGAUGCACUAUUAUUGGACCCGCUUCUGAAGGAACUCCUUGCAAAGAAAUUGCACCAGUACCAAAGGCGGAGCAAGCUAUCAGGUUGGCGGAUUGCAAUAAUCAGUGUAACAAAAAGAAAAACAAACGUAAAGGGAAAGCAAAACUCUCUGAUCUUAUGAGAGCUGAGAACCCUGGACCUGGCAAACUGAAGACAGCUGUUGCUCAUGUUGCUACAGAAGCCUUGCAUAAAUCUGCCGAAGCAGUAGAUGCCCCACUGCGUGUCCCAUCUCAUGUGAAUACAUCCAGCAAUGACAUCCCUGAAGCAGUGGGUUGUUCUGAGUCUUCAAGUAUCUUUGAUGGAACUGAAGAAAAAGGCAUCAAAAGCAGCAGAAAACUGGAAGACACCUUAUGUUCUUCUAUGGUUAUCUCAUCAGUAACCACAGAGUGUUGUCAGAGUGCACAAAAACCUGCCAACUUUAGUGUGAAUGAGCAGAGCCCAUCACACACUAGUCUAAAUGAAUCCAUGGUCCAACCAUCUUUAUGUUCACCUUCCAGUAGUGAUAAUGUUUUAUCUGGUAAUCCAUGUAGAAACUCUGCUGACUCCUUGGUAAGAUCUGCACAGGAUAAGACUGGCUGUGAUAUAACACAGGGAGCUUUGCAUGGACUUGCUCCUGGUGUUGGUAAAGGAUACGAGAAACAAGUGGAUCAUAGUUCUGUUGUGACAACCGACAAACUUUUACCAUCAGUCAUUCCUGCUAACAUUCUCCAAAGUGCUAUAAGUGACAAUGGUACAGCAGUGAAGAAUGGUGUAGAUGAAUAUUAUGCAUUCAACCGGAACCUACUGGGAGGAACGUCAUACGAGUGGCCUAGUGUAGCACCCCAUUUUGUAUCACCUGAAAUGCAACAGCGCCCUGCCGCAGCAGACAGGUUGCAUCUUGACGUUGGUUACAGAUGGCCUACUCAAUUUAACCAACCUUUCAUUCCUGCCAACCAUCAGGUGAGAAGCUCACCAGUUGAAGCUGGAUGCAAUCAAAUGUUAUCUUCUCUGUCAGUGCCCUUAAGUUUUGAUUGGCCUCCUGUUUUCAGAGGUUAUGGUAAAUUGACUCAAAAUGCUGCUUUAAGUUAUGAUCCGGUAUUUGCCCCACAUAUGCAGUCUUCUGCUUGGCCUGGGUUUCCUGCUCAACUAAUUCAGAGAGGUGGCAUUUGCAGUGAAAAAGAUAGGAAAUAUUUUAGCGAUAGUGACCCAAGAAACACAUCAGAUGUUGGGGAUGAUACUGAAAGCUAUUGGUUUUCUGAAGAAGAAUCAGAUGGCCGCGCAACUUCUGGAAGAGAUAUUAAUCAAUAUUUUGGCGGAGGCGUGAUGUAUUGGAGUCCUGCAGAACAUGCCGGAACGGGCUUUUCUAGGCCACCAUCUCUUAGUUCAGAUGACAGUGCUUGGGCAUGGCAUGAGGCAGAUGUUAGUCGAGUUGUCGACGAUCUGGCUAUUGGGAUUCCAUCAUCAACAUAUAAUCCAACUGGUCCAUCGUCACCACCAUCCAGCCCAAGCCCAUUCUGUUCCCAGAAUGAACCUUCUGAUCCUUCCCCUCAGCCUGCUUGUCACUCAGUGGCAGGGAAUGACAUCAAUAAUGAAGCUUCACAUUCUCCAUCUUCCAUGCAAGACAGUCCUGAAGAUAAGAGUACUUCGGCUGUAAAGAGUCCAUCUUGUGCCAGUGAAAUAGUAAAGGGAGAUACAUUACCAUAUGCAAUGCUGCGGCCAAUAGUUGUUUCUAAUAUAUCACGAAGGCUAUCAAGAUCUGACUUUAGGGGUGGUCAUGAUCACAGGAGCCCAUGUGUGUCUUCGACCAGGAGGGAUAUACCUCUUGUAAGAAGACCUCCAUCACCAGUAUUACUUAGUGUUCCUCGCAUGCCUCGGCCACCUCCUCCCUCUCCUGUUGGAGAGUCAAGAAAACGUGGAUUCCCAAUUGUUAGAUCUGGCAGUUCAAGCCCGCGGCAUUGGGGGAUGAGAAGUUUGUUUUCUGAUGAUAAAAUUUUCAAUAGGGCUCAGUUUUGCUUGGAUGGCCCUGAAGUCGUAUGGCCUUCAUGGGUGAAUAAAGGCACCUCUACUGGUACACUGGUACAAUCAAUUGAGGAUACUGUCUUGCAGGACCACCUUGUUAAGAUUUCACAGCUUUCACGUGAUCAACAUCCAGAUGUUGCAGUUCCUCUGCAGCCACCUGAUAUGUUAAAUGGUUCACCUCACAAGGCGUCCCUUUCUUUGAUGCACAAUGCUCUACAUGAAGAAAUUGAUCAAUUCUGUAAGCAGGUUGCUGCUGCAAAUCUGGUGACGAAGCCCUAUAUAAAUUGGGCUGUCAAAAGGGUCACACGGUGCCUGCAAGUCCUCUGGCCCCGCUCGCGUACAAAUCUAUUUGGCUCAAAUGCCACUGGUUUGGCCCUUCCAACUAGUGAUGUAGAUCUCGUGGUUUCUCUCCCCCCAGUCCGAAAUCUGGAACCUAUUAAAGAAGCUGGAAUUUUGGAAGGCCGCAAUGGCAUUAAGGAAACAUGCCUCCAGCAUGCGGCAAGGUGCCUUGGAAAUCAGGACUGGGUUAGGAGUGAUUCCCUCAAAACGAUUGAAAACACAGCAAUACCUGUGAUCAUGCUUGUAGCCCAAGUACCUUGUGACAUAAAUAUGUCCAAUGAGUACCCUUCUGUUCUGGAUAGCUCACAAGAAAUUUCAGUCAAUGUGCUUGGGGAGCAAGGGAGCCCUCCUCGUUCUGACAAUUCUAGUUCAGAAGGCAGCAAUGCGCUUGCGGGCUCAAAAAUGAAUAAGGAUGAUUGUGAUGCUGUGCGGUCAAUUCGUCUUGAUAUAAGUUUCAAAUCACCAUCCCACACAGGACUCCAGACUACUGAGUUGGUUGGUGAGCUGACUCAGCAAUUUCCUGCGGCUUUACCCCUUGCCUUAAUCAUGAAGAAGUUUUUGGCAGAUCGUAGUUUGGACCACCCAUAUUCGGGUGGUCUAAGCUCUUACUGUUUGGUGUUGUUAAUCACUCGUUUUCUUCAGCAUGAACAUCAUCUUGGUCGGCCUAUUAACCAAAAUCUAGGGAGCCUUUUGAUGGAUUUCCUGUAUUUUUUUGGGAAUGUGUUUGAUCCACGCCAUAUGCGUAUUUCCAUCCAAGGAAGUGGAAUUUAUUUGAACCGAGAAAGAGGGCACAGCAUUGAUCCAAUUCAUAUUGAUGACCCUCUUUGCCCUGCUAACAAUGUGGGCCGGAAUUGUUUCCGGAUCCACCAAUGCAUCAAGGCUUUUGCUGAUGCUUUUGCAGUUCUAGAGAACGAGCUACUACAGUUCACUGCAGAAUCAAUGAAGAGAACCCGUGAGUCCACAAGCUACAGGAACUGUUGGGUUGGAAUGGCCUCUGCUUGUGUUCUAGACACUGAGUUACUACUGCAGCUGGUGGAAAAGAAGGCUUGUUCGAAGGUACAAUGCCAGCUGCCCUUCUCUUGCCUCUGGCUGCUUAGAACCCGAGACCGUUGA